AACCAGUGCCACGGGAACCUGGAAGAACCGGGUUGAGAGGAGGGCCCUCGCCCUCGACCGUCGAACCUGAACCGGCUCAUACCGGCGUAGGGAGGCUGCCUGCUCGUGCG
rnacentral:ncRNA from 2 species